rnacentral:lncRNA from 10 species
AAAAUGAAGACGCUCCUAGAAUCCUUAAGGGAAGAACUGCACUACGACAGGUCAAGAGUUGAGGUUUUAGGCAUGGCUAAAACGAUAAAGAUGGGAAUCAACAAAUACCAUUGAAGAUAUGGAGCAAAGAGAACUCUCACAUACUGCUGGAGGGAAUAUAAAUUAGUAUAACCACUUUGGAAAACUGGUCGUACCUGUAAAAGCUGAACAUUUGCCUAUUCAGUGACGUGUCAAUUUCACUUUUUAUGGAUAUACCCUAAAGGAAGGAUAACAAAAAAUCAUGAACAAGAAUGCUUAUAAGCGGUACAAGAUAUUCACAAUAGCUCCAAACUGGAAGCUGUUUAAAUGCUCAUCAGUAUUGGAAUGGAUAAAUUGUGAUAUAUUCAUACAAGGCAAUACUUAUACAGCAAUGAUAAUUAAAUUAAUAUGUAUUCACAAGGCUGGAAUGUACAAAAAUAACAUCAAACAAAAGAAACUAGAUACAAAAAAAGCAUGCACUCUUGUUCUCACUCAUAGGAGGGAAUUGAACAAUAAGAACACUUGGACACAGGGUGGGGA